AUUGAACGCUGGCGGCAGGCCUAACACAUGCAAGUCGAACGAACGGCGGACGGGUGAGUAAUGGAGGGGCAUCUGCCUGAUCGAGGGGGCUAACGACGGGAACCCGUGGCUAAUACCGCUUAAUAUCCGAUGAACCCACGUGGGAUUAGCUAGUCGGUGGGGUAAAGGCUCACCAAGGCAACGAUACCUAGCUGGUCUGAGAGGAUGAGCGGCCACACUGGGACUGAGACACGGCCCAGACUCCUACGGGAGGCAGCAGUGGGGAAUAUUGGACAAUGGGCGCAAGUCUGAUGGAGCAAUGCCGCGUGUAUGAAGAAGGCCUUAGGGUUGUAAAGUACUUUCAGCGGGGAGGCGUUACCCGCAGAGGAAGCACCGGCUAACUCCGUGCCAGCAGCCGCGGUAAUAC
rnacentral:rRNA from 1 species